CCUACGGGAGGCAGCAGUAGGGAAUCUUCCGCAAUGGACGAAAGUCUGACGGAGCAACGCCGCGUGAGUGAUGAAGGCUUUCGGGUCGUAAAACUCUGUUGUUAGGGAAGAACAAGUACGAGAGUAACUGCUCGUACCUUGACGGUACCUAACCAGAAAGCCACGGCUAACUACGUGCCAGCAGCCGCGGUAAUACGUAGGUGGCAAGCGUUAUCCGGAAUUAUUGGGCGUAAAGCGCGCGCAGGCGGUUUCUUAAGUCUGAUGUGAAAGCCCACGGCUCAACCGUGGAGGGUCAUUGGAAACUGGGGAACUUGAGUGCAGAAGAGAAAAGCGGAAUUCCACGUGUAGCGGUGAAAUGCGUAGAGAUGUGGAGGAACACCAGUGGCGAAGGCGGCUUUUUGGUCUGUAACUGACGCUGAGGCGCGAAAGCGUGGGGAGCAAACAGGAUUAGAUACCCUGGUAGUCCACGCCGUAAACGAUGAGUGCUAAGUGUUAGAGGGUUUCCGCCCUUUAGUGCUGCAGCUAACGCAUUAAGCACUCCGCCUGGGGGAGUACGGUCGCAAGACUGAAACUCAAAGGAAUUGACGGGGGCCCGCACAAGCGGUGGGAGCAUGUGGUUUAAUUCGAAGCAACGCGAAGAACCUUAC
rnacentral:rRNA from 1 species